GUGGUCGUGGUAUAGUGGUUGAAGGUAUGACGGAUUAGAAAAACUAACGAGGAGGAUCUCUGAUCGCACCGAGGGUUUUUCGUAGGUCGAGGGUUCGAAUCCAGCGGGGCGCG